UGAUCCGCAGCCUUAGUUGUUG
rnacentral:sRNA from 1 species